rnacentral:misc_RNA from 1 species
AACCUUAUGGACCUGCGGGCGUAUACCUGCGGAAGGAUCAUUACAGAGUUACUACUCCAAACCCAUUGUGAACCUUACCUAUGUUCUGUUGCCUCGGCGGCGCGGUCAGCGCCCCUCUGAAAAGAGGACGAUGCCCUCCCGCCGGCAGCACCAAACUCUUGAAUUUUACAGCGGAUUACAGUUCUGAUUUAAAAACAAAAAAAACAAGUUAAAACUUUUAACAACGGAUCUCAGAUCGGA